GUACGCUGGCGGCACGCCUUAUACAUGCAAGUCGAACGAAGUAGCAAUACUUAGUGGCAGACGGGUGAGUAACAUGUAGGUAUCUUCCCUUUGGUGAGGAAUAACACGAGGAAACUUGUGCUAAUACCUCAUAAGUCUUUACGGAGAAAGCUUUAUGCGCCGAAGGAUGAGCCUGCACUUGAUUAGUUUGUUGGUGGGGUAAUGGCCUACCAAGACUUUGAUCUAUAGCUGAUCUGAGAGGAUGAUCAGCCACAUUGGGACUGAGACACGGCCCAAACUCCUACGGGAGGCAGCAGUAGGGAAUAUUGCACAAUGGAGGAAACUCUGAUGCAGCGAUGCCGCGUGAGUGAAGAAGGCCUUUGGGUUGUAAAGCUCUUUCGUCGGGGAAGAAAAUGACUGUACCCGAAUAAGAAGGUCCGGCUAA
rnacentral:rRNA from 1 species